rnacentral:rRNA from 1 species
UGACCAGCGGAGGGAUCAUUACCGAGUUUACAACUCCCAAACCCAAUGUGAACCAUACCAAACUGUUGCCUCGGCGGGGUCACGCCCCGGGUGCGUCGCAGCCCCGGAACCAGGCGCCCGCCGGAGGGACCAACCAAACUCUUUACUGUAGUCCCCUCGCGGACGUUAUUUCUUACAGCUCUGAGCAAAAAAUUCAAAAUGAAUCAAAACUUUCAACAACGGAUCUCUUGGUUCUGGCAUCGAUGAAGAACGCAGCGAAAUGCGAUAAGUAAUGUGAAUUGCAGAAUUCAGUGAAUCAUCGAAUCUUUGAACGCACAUUGCGCCCGCCAGUAUUCUGGCGGGCAUGCCUGUCCGAGCGUCAUUUCAACCCUCGAACCCCUCCGGGGGGUCGGCGUUGGGGAUCGGGAACCCCUCAGACGGGAUCCCGGCCCCGAAAUACAGUGGCGGUCUCGCCGCAGCCUCUCCUGCGCAGUAGUUUGCACAACUCGCACCGGGAGCGCGGCGCGUCCACGUCCGUAAAACACCCAACUUUCUGAAAUGUUGACCUCGGAUCAGGUAGGAAUACCCGCUGAACUUAAGCAUAUCAAUAAGCCGGAGGA